GGUGUCAUCAGGCGCGAGCAUAAUGACUUCUUUCUUUUUCCCUUAUCACGCUUUUCUUAUAUAUGCGCAUAAUUAUUGAAGGGUCUGUUUGUUUUGCUUCUGAGCCUCGGUGCAUGCUAGUGCAGUGAAUCAAAGAGUCUGUUCGUUUUCGAAUAACCUCUGUACUAGCGCACAUUAAUGCAAUAAGUUGGAGUAAAAGAAAAUAUACUUGGCUUACUCUGAUUUAUUGUAUCAGUGCAGAGGUUCUUCGAAAACGAACAGACCUAGAGCGUACUGUAAUACUCGUUUCGCUAGUCCCUCGAAGUUCCUCGAAAAUCUACCAGACUUAAUGUUUGCGUCUCCGUUGAUCCGUAUCGCGCGUAGGACCGGACACGCCUGGGAAUGAUUAUCGACUGGCCGUCUCGUGGCCGAUAAUCGCAUUUCCGCCGGGUGAAAAGAUCCACCGGGACACAACGGCCUGAUCCGGCGAAGCGCGAAACCGCAGGCGCUCAGGACGUCUCAUAAAUGCGACACUGUAAAAAUAGAUUCAAGGGCAGAAUGCAAGGGUGCGUUGCACUUUUGCCACGUCACACGGCCGACGUUCACGCUCGUGUGCCGGUAAUACCGGAUAAUACGACUACAGACAUAGCCCGCGGAGCUUAAGCGUUGCACGGCGCUCCAGACCGGCUGCUGCUACGUGGGAGAGAGGCCCGCUUCACAAAAUCGAUACGCUCCUUCUCGAAGCCGUCUCGUGGUCGGCGUAGCUGAGCACGUGACCGGCCACGGCGGACGCAUAAAAGGACGGACGCAUUCUUCCGUAUUUGGAAGAAACUGCCGAUUUGACGCAUCCCGGAUUUGCAUCGGCGAUUCAGGCGGCAAUUGACGUCGCGUACGAGAAGAGCCGAGCUGGCUCACAGCUGGCUGAAACGAGGAACUCGCCGAGGUGGGCGUGUGUUGUACGCAGCACCGUGCACCGGUACCGCCGUGCACGUGGCUACGUGGCUACACGUCUGGUUCCGCCGUCUGGCAGUGCCGCUGAAAUCGAUAUGAAAUGCGACAACCUGGGUUCAACGUAUCCCUCCGCCUGAACAUGCCGUUUUCGGGAAGGAGCUGCCGCGGAAGGACGCGUAGGAUAAAGCGGGUGGCAGGCAGGAAAACGUAGUUGCCGUGAAACUUGAGCGAAUCGACCAGUCGCAGUUGAUGAUUCUUCUCAUGGUUCAAGAAUAAUAAGAGAACGCUGGAGAAGGAAACUCAAAGUCUCGGGCUGCGCGAAAAUGAGUCAUCGCCGAGUCGCCUCGACUGUGCGAUCGAAAGCGCCAUGAAACACAAGACCAUUCGAUACCACUGACAUUCUCCACGGCUGUUUUGUCUCCAAGAAGAUUACGGAAUAGCAGAGAGCUCGCAACGGAUAAUACGAGAAAUAAUUAUAGCUUCCGAUUCCAUUCAAUGUAUCGCCGUUACCGGUCGAGACAAUGUGUUGAAUGAAACUGCAGGCAAAGCCUGCUGCUGCUGUUGAGUGAAUGGCUGGGACAUGGCGAGCAUACAGUUUCGUGCAUGCCUCUCGUAGAAAGAUGUUUGUCGCGUCGCGUCGCCCGUCGGCGACGGGUGGGACGAGACGGCAAAAAAGAAGAUGCGAAAAGGGGCCGAGCGUAACGUGAGAUCGCCCCCGAUGGCUUCUCGAUAACUUUCGCUAAAUUGUCCCUUUAGCAAUUAUUUGCACGGGUGAAUUAGCCGCGAAUGGAGCGUUCUUAGCGCGCAGACGUGCUGCUCUCCGUGAAUUUUUCCCGUGCGAUUCCCACGCUCAUAAUCAGAAUACGCGAGCUGGAAAUCAGAUCUCGCAAAUCUAGAUCCGUAUCAUUCACUUCCAAGUGACGGUUUUGUUCAUUACUCUCUUACAAUCGAAAUCUGCUUGACGACUGUGAAAACUGUUACGACAACGCUUCCACACUGAGAAACGAAUAUUUGAAAACUCUCAUUUGUGGAACGUAGAGUCAAUUACUGUGAAAUAAAAAGUCCUUUUCUGUAAGAUAGAGAUUUUCCCUGCGAGUGAAUUUUAUAUUCUAUGAAUGAAUGUUCACGUAUCCUUUUCUCAGUUUUAAUAAUUGAAAGUCAGUUUUUAGUAAUUAAAAGUGUAAUUAAAAGGGUCUUCAAUGGCAAAUGCAAGUUUGCACGUACAGCUUGACGAUACCUUCGUGCUUUGAUUCGCACGGAUCAUGUAGGUUCCCGAGUGCGUUGCACUUUUGACAGCGAGAGAAUUCGACGCGGAUA